rnacentral:tRNA from 1 species
GAUUAUUUAGUUUAUAUUAAAACAGAUAUUUUGAAAAUAUCAAAAAAGAAAAUUUCUUAAUAAUCG